GAAGAAGGUGAAGAUGAUGAAGAAGAACAAAGUCACCAUCUCUUUCAUAACUGGUUAAUGGCGGCAUCACAGUACUUUGUGAAGAAUCAACAGGAUGAAGAGCAGAGUGGAGAGGAGAGUACAGAUGAGGAGAGUGGAGAGGAGAAUACAGAUGAGGAGAGUGGAGAGGAGAAUACGGAUGAGGAAUUAAAAGAACAGGAAUCCUAAAAAAGCAAUGAAGAACUAUGUGGCCAAGAUGAAGGGACUGAAAAUAAAAGAUUAGAACAUUGCCAUCAAAAAGCAAGUGAAGGAGGCCAAAAACAUCAUAGCUAUGAAGGCCACAAACAUCAAGGUUAAGGAGGCAAAAACUAUCUUGGCGAAACAGACCCAAAGCAUCAAGCACGUCAAAAACAUUGUGGUAGAAAAAAACUAAAAAUAUCAAGAGUCCGGAAUCUUUUAGCUGGUUUCGUCAAAAACUGGACAAUUUCUGGGAUAAGUUCUGGAAUUCAGGAAGGUCAACACCGGCCACAAUAGUUGUGAUGGGAACAACCAUCAUCACAUCACCUUGGUUCUAGGUUUUGAGCUAUUUAUCUACAUUUUCCAUGUUUUUACAUCAGAUUAUAAGCUCCUCUUCUUCUAUAGCGUCAGCUGGAGACAUCAUAUCAUAUAUACAUUGUGGUGCACCAGCUUAUCUGAUAUCUGCAGCUCUGUACAAUGUUCUAGGCCAAUAGUAAAGAUCAGAGAGAAUCACAGAACGUAAUGUUAUAGAAUUGUCCAAGACUCUAGAAUCCCAGGAACUGUAUUCAUAGUACAUUUAAUAUUGUUUUGUUUUUUUCACUUAUAGUUAUAAGGAGCAUCCUGAAUAUGAGA